AAGGAAUAUUGGUCAAUGGACGCAAGUCUGAACCAGCCAUGCCGCGUGAAGGAUGAAGGUCCUCCGGAUUGUAAACUUCUUUUAUCUGGGACGAAAACGGGAUUUUUAUCUCAAUUGACGGUACCAGAGGAAUAAGCACCGGCUAACUCCGUGCCAGCAGUCGCGGUAAUACGGAGGGUGCGAGCGUUAUCCGGAUUUACUGGGUUUAAAGGGUGCGUAGGUGGGCUUAUAAGUCAGUGGUGAAAUCUCCGAGCUUAACUUGGAAACUGCCGUUGAUACUAUAGGUCUUGAAUUAUCUGGAGGUAAGCGGAAUAUGUCAUGUAGCGGUGAAAUGCUUAGAUAUGACAUAGAACACCAAUUGCGAAGGCAGCUUACUACAUAUAAAUUGACGCUGAGGCAGGAAAGCGUGGGGAUCAAACA
rnacentral:rRNA from 1 species